rnacentral:rRNA from 1 species
AGCGAAUCCUUAAAAGCCGGUCUCAGUUCGGAUCGGGGUCUGCAACUCGACCCCGUGAAGUCGGAGUCGCUAGUAAUCGCAGAUCAGCAACGCUGCGGUGAAUACGUUCCCGGGCCUUGUACACACCGCCCGUCGCGUCAUGAAAGUCGGUAACACCCGAAGCCAGUGGCCUAACCCUCGGGAGGGAGCUGUCGAAGGUGGGAUCGGCGAUUGGGACGAAGUCGUAACAAGGUAGC